rnacentral:rRNA from 1 species
AGUCGUUCUGCCCAUUGUAUUUAAAAGGCUGCAGUAUAUUAACUGUACAAAGGUAGCAAAAUAAAUAGUUUUUUAAUUUGAAACUUGAAUGAAAGAAUUAAUAAAAUAUAAAUUGUCUCAAUUAUUGAAUUUAAAUUAAAAGUUAAAAUGCUUUUAUUUAUUUAUAAGACGAUAAGACCCUAAGAAUUUUAUAAUUUUUAAUAUUUUAAUAAUUAUAUUAAAUAUAGAUUAUUUUAUUGGGAGGGUAGUAAAAUAAACUUUUAUUUUAUAAAAUAUUUUUAAAUAAAUUUAAUGAUUAUUGUUAUGAUUAUAAGAAUUAAUUACCUUAGGGAUAACAGCGUAAUAAUUUUGGAGAGUUCAUAUUGAUAAAAUUGUUUGCGACCUCGAUGUUGAAUUAAAAUAAAAAUUAAAUGAAGAAAUUUAAGUUUUUAGUCUGUUCGACUAUUAAAAUUUUAC